CCUACGGGAGGCAGCAGUGGGGAAUAUUGCACAAUGGGGGAAACCCUGAUGCAGCGACGCCGCGUGAGUGAAGAAGUAUUUCGGUAUGUAAAGCUCUAUCAGCAGGGAAGAAAAUGACGGUACCUGAUUAAGAAGCCCCGGCUAACUACGUGCCAGCAGCCGCGGUAAUACGUAGGGGGCAAGCGUUAUCCGGAUUUACUGGGUGUGAAGGGAGCGUAGACGGCAGCACAAGUCUGGAGUGAAAUGCCGGGGCUUAACCCCGGAACUGCUUUGGAAACUGUGCAGCUAGAGUGCAGGAGAGGUAAGUGGAAUUCCUAGUGUAGCGGUGAAAUGCGUAGAUAUUAGGAGGAACACCAGUGGCGAAGGCGGCUUACUGGACUGUAACUGACGUUGAGGCUCGAAAGCGUGGGGAGCAAACAGGAUUAGAUACCCGGGUAGUC
rnacentral:rRNA from 1 species